rnacentral:rRNA from 1 species
UACGUAGGGUGCGAGCGUUGUCCGGAUUUAUUGGGCGUAAAGAGCUCGUAGGCGGUCUGUCGCGUCGGAUGUGAAAACCCAGGGCUCAACCCUGGGCCUGCAUUCGAUACGGGCAGACUAGAGUACGGCAGGGGAGACUGGAAUUCCUGGUGUAGCGGUGAAAUGCGCAGAUAUCAGGAGGAACACCGGUGGCGAAGGCGGGUCUCUGGGCCGAGACUGACGCUGAGGAGCGAAAGCGUGGGGAGCGAACAGG